rnacentral:rRNA from 1 species
CGGGGUGAGUAACGCGUGGAUAACCUGCCUCACACGUGGGGAUAACAGUUAGAAAUGACUGCUAAUACCGCAUAAGCGCACAGUACCGCAUGGUACGGUGUGAAAAACUCCGGUGGUGUGAGAUGGAUCCGCGUCUGAUUAGCCAGUUGGCGGGGUAACGGCCCACCAAAGCGACGAUCAGUAGCCGACCUGAGAGGGUGACCGGCCACAUUGGGACUGAGACACGGCCCAA